rnacentral:rRNA from 1 species
UCCGGUGGUCAUAGCGUCGGGGAAACACCUCUUCCCAUUCCGAACAGAGAAGUUAAGCCCGAUAGCGCCGAUGGUACUUGUCUCGCAAGGGACCGGGAGAGUAGGACACCGCCGGUU